rnacentral:lncRNA from 1 species
AUAUACUAUAGUUGUACUUGAAACAUUAUCAAGCAAGUUGACUCAGUAUUCAUAUACUGUAGUAAGCUUCAAAGAGUAAUACUUGCAAUACUAUAAAAUAAUAAUAUUCUUAUAUCAUUACUGUUCAACCAUUUGUUUGCUAAGUAUUUACAGGUAAUUCCGCUAUCAACCUGUCUAAAUCGAAAAGAGGCUAUCACCCCCCCUUAUAGCCUCAGAUCACGAUCCAACAGGAUAUUGUGGCAUUGCCAUAAAUUGAGCGCCAAGCACUUGAUUUACCUCAGGAUUUCUGCCGAUUGAUACCAUGUUGGAGGGAUGAACGGAGGUGACAUCCGACAGAUUGGAUUCACCAUCCAUUGCCGACGAGAUCGAGAUGAUCUUAGGAGCCAUUGCAAGAAGAUGUUGAGCACAACUAGAGAAGGAGAUGUAGAGUGAUUUUAGAAAUGGAAAAACUUGUAUUGAUUGCUAUGAAUAGAUGGGUAUUUAUACACAAGAAUUAACAAUAAC